GUUUGCGGAAGUGUGUGUGCUAGUGAUGGCACAACUGAACAUUGAUCGCUAACGUUAGAAAUAAGCAGAUCUGCUCAGUGGGUGUUGUCACGUGGUCGCUUCAAGUAGCUUGUGUCGGCUCCCGAUUGCGCGUGUAGGUUCGUGGUGCGUUUUUUAUAAUUCACCUCGGAUUUGCACGCCUGCACGGUUGAGUCUUUCACGUCGCUCCUCGAACUACCGCGAUUUCCAAAUUGGGGGGCAAUCGAAUAGGUCAGACGAGGUUAAAUAAAUUUAUCGCUUCCAUAUACAGGCACUGCAGGAUAAGCAGUAUGCCAUGUUUUUUUUUCUUUCAUUGCUUUCAUUUUUUUUUAUAAAUUUUACAAAACAUACAAACUGAUUUCAUACGGAUAAAAAUAAAAGGAGGAAGAUAAUGUUUUUGCAUGUUUUUUUAGCUUUAUUUAUACGACAAAACAGUGAUAAGUGUUGCGAAUUCUCAACUAAGUGGUGAUCAGUCAGGUGCAACUGAUCGGUUGAUAUCGCGAACCUUGAAUGAGAUUAACGCUCAAGGAGGAGGUAAAUUAAAGAUGUCAAAAGCUUCGUCUGAUUCUUAUAUACUAACUUUCCGUCCCCGGUUUUCCAUGGUUUAAAUGUGUACUCUCGUUGGCGCAUAUCUUCUAGUAUUGCUGCUUGAUACCAGAUGUUUACUUUAGACCUGAUCCAUCGGGCAUUCAGGUGUUUAUUAACCUCUUAAUGAGGUCCGUAUCGUAAGGUUUAUAACUUGGGAGGUAGGAAACUCGGGCUUUCCCAAAAAAGAUGCAACCUGAGUGAAAAGAAGAUUCCAAUUCCAUACUUCAUCCGGCUCUUUUGUUAGAUUUUCAUUGUAUAAUUUCUCUGCUAGAAGAGAAAGAUUAACGCCAUUUAGAGACAUGAAUGCGGCAUUCUUUACCAAAUCCGUAUCAAGUUCUUUAUACGCAGCGACUCUGUUCACAUUCACCCUACGGAAUACCGAAUUGAAAGUAACUGAAUGAGAAUUUUUCCAACAAACUUUACAAUGAUACCUACGUUGGUGUAUUUACUAAAUCGGACAAAGCAUUAUCCUCCUGAAUUUCAUCCAAAUCCGGUAUAACAGGGAUAUCUAGAAAGUAUAACCCUGUUAACAGCAGAACUCUUACAUUUUGGACGAUUUCAAAUUAAUUCUCACCGUCAAUCACGUCGUCCUUCUCCGUCCCUCGAGAGCGUUCCCUAAGAAACAGUCUAUCAGCGACUACGGAUGCCUGAUUCCUUAAUUUUAUUCGUUAUACUCACUGUUCGAUGAUGCUCGACGACCCACGUAUCCUAAAAUUAUAACCAAAAAAGGUUCGUCACCCCAUCCUGUUUUCCUGGUACGUGGGGGUGCUACAGGUGGUUGUGCCGAUUUCACAGAGGAUGACGAUACAGGACUUUCCAAAAGAUCAUCGUCUAGUUUCGAAUCUUCUUGUACGAUGUUCUGCGUCGAUCUUCUACCAAGACGAGGCAAAAGCUGAAAAUCAAUAUUUUUCUUUUAACUUAACCGCUCUGUUGUUACCAGCAAUCGAUUACAAGAAAUGUGUACAAUGGACAAGGGUGAAUAUUUAAAAACUUACUUUUUUCGAGAGGCAAAUAAAAUCCGUGUUUGUGAGCAGUAACCAUAACAACUGAACGCCCUGGUGACUCGAGCGGUGAAUCGACUUUGCUCGUCCCUGCAUUCGCCUUGUUCCCCUCUUUCGUUCGGGAAGUAGCGCGAGAAACGUGACUGGAAAGGCGCCAGUGGAACGGUCAAAACCGGUUCCAAGUACCCUUUGAUUAGAGCGCGUCUUUUUAAACGACAUAUUAAAAGGAUUCUGUUUAGAAAUAAGCUCAAAUCGUAAUACGAAAGGUAUCUUGUAUCAUAGAUAUUGCAUCCUAAAGGACAGCUGUUUAAUAAUGCUUGGUGUCAUCGAUUUGUCGUUGAUAUUCCUCGUCAUCGGGAUUCGCCUCACACGCGUUGUCAUUGUUUGGUGGUCUUACUCCGUUGUACCUAUAAUUUCAAUCAUAUUGAUACCGCAUGAAGUAUGAAAGACGGGAAUUCGCGUCUCCGGUCCCCAAUCGUUGGAAAAUGAAAGAUGCGAAUUCGCCGAGUGUUAAUCGUAGAUCAUAUGCUUGCAAGUGAAAGACCUGGAAAAGUCACCCUUGCA